rnacentral:rRNA from 1 species
ACGGGUGAGUAACGCGUGGGAAUCUACCCAUCUCUACGGAAUAACGCAUGGAAACGUGUGCUAAUACCGUAUACGUCCUUCGGGAGAGAGAUUUAUCGGAGAUGGAUGAGCCCGCGUUGGAUUAGCUAGUUGGUGGGGUAAAGGCCUACCAAGGCGACGAUCCAUAGCUGGUCUGAGAGGAUGAUCAGCCACACUGGGACUGAGACACGGCCCAGACUCCUACGGGAGGCAGCAGUGGGGAAUAUUGGACAAUGGGCGCAAGCCUGAUCCAGCCAUGCCGCGUGAGUGAUGAAGGCCCUAGGGUUGUAAAGCUCUUUCACCGGUGAAGAUAAUGACGGUAACCGGAGAAGAAGCCCCGGCUAACUUCGUGCCAGCAGCCGCGGUAAUACGAAGGGGGCUAGCGUUGUUCGGAUUUACUGGGCGUAAAGCGCACGUAGGCGGACUAUUAAGUCAGGGGUGAAAUCCCGGGGCUCAACCCCGGAACUGCCUUUGAUACUGGUAGUCUUGAGUUCGAGAGAGGUGAGUGGAAUUCCGAGUGUAGAGGUGAAAUUCGUAGA